GUCCCUGUCGUCCAGUGGCCAGUGACGCUUGAUUCUCAGUCAGGAGACCGGAGUUCGAUUCUCCGCAGGGGUACCA
rnacentral:tRNA from 1 species